CAGGGGAAACAAAGCUGGGCGUGCAUGCCAAUGUCCUUGUCAGCCUUGGAUCCUGGGCCUCCCGGGCUCCGUUGAAGCCUUCAGUGUCCACAAAGCACUGGUGUGAGGUUGAGACAGGUGAAGAGCAGGCAGAGGGACUCAGUCUCGCCUCAGAUCCACAGCCUGCCCAGGAGGAAGCCUGAAGCACACUGUGGGUGAGGUCAGAUCUUGGCAGAGUAUCCGGAUGCCUCGCAAAGCCAGCUUCCCCAGCUGGGUCUGGAAUGGGGUCCACAGUGCCCCUCCAAAUAUGGUAGUUUUACUGGUUUUACCCAAUCUUGGCAACCUCCAGAGCCCGUGCAGCCAAAUCUGUGGCUUUGAAUAUGAGAAUCACCUCAACCAGCAUUCUUUCCAAGGCAACGUGUGAAGAGGGUUGGGUGAGUCAGGAAAGCGUCUCUGUGACCUCUGUGAAGUAAAGGAUGGAUCCCAAAAGGAUUGUGAGAGCCUUGGAUUUGCAGCCAAAUCAGACAGAGGGGAAGAGCAGCCUGGAAAUGCAGUUUCUUCCCAAAUCUAAGGAAGUCUGGCAAGACUGAGAGCCUUCUUGUUUCUUUGCAUCAUUUUAUUUAUUUUAUUUUAUUUUAUUUUAUUUUAUUUUAUUUUUGCUACUGUUGUUUUGGAGAUAAGGUCUCAAGUGGUCUAGGCUGGCUUUGAACUGGUUAUGUGGCCAAGGUUGACUCUGAACUCAUGAUAGAGGUAUAGAUAUCUUUGACUCCCGUUUCCCAAGUGCUUAGAACACAGGUAUGCCCCAUUCCACUUGGCAAAGCCAAGAUUUACACUUGUGGGAUCUGAUGCUAUCACGAGGUAGAUGUUGUCAGACCUGAAUUGCAUUGUGGGAUACCCAGCUGGUCACAGAAGAUUGAUGAAUGUGAAGAAUCUACAUCUGGCCACAAAAGAAUCCCGUGUUGGGAAGCCCAGGGAACAGAAACAGGCAUGGGGUCUCUUGCCUCUCAAGACACUAGGCUGGUGCUCUCUAGAGACCUGUGCGGGAGCAACAUCUGUCCGGAGACCUUGAAGCCGCAUUCCAUCAAAGAUUCUCUAAAACAGUAAGUCCAAUACAGGAGCCACCAGCUGGCAAUCACUUGACACAUGGCCACUGGAUGUGCUAAAAUGUAAAAAGUGCACAUGCUUUGAAGGCCAUGUGGAAUGAAACAUUCGAAGCAGCUCCAUAAUAAUUGUUUUUAACAUUGAUUAUGCUAAACUGGUAAUAUUCUUCUUUUACUAGUUAAAUGUAUUGUUUACAUUAUUCUUAUUGUAAAAUACAUAUGGUGUAAGCUUA
ensembl:lincRNA Gm29590 predicted gene 29590